rnacentral:SRP_RNA from 2 species
GCUGGGUGCGGUGGCUCACACCUGUAAUCCCAGCACUUUGGGAGGCUGAGGCAGGUGGAUCACCUGAGGUCAGGAGUUCAAGACCAGCCUGGCCAACAUGGUGAAAUCCUGUCUCUA